GUGGGUAACCUGCCUGUAAGACUGGGAUAACUCCGGGAAACCGGAGCUAAUACCGGAUAGUUCCUUGAACCGCAUGGUUCAAGGAUGAAAGACGGUUUCGGCUGUCACUUACAGAUGGACCCGCGGCGCAUUAGCUAGUUGGUGGGGUAAUGGCUCACCAAGGCGACGAUGCGUAGCCGACCUGAGAGGGUGAUCGGCCACACUGGGACUGAGACACGGCCCAGACUCCUACGGGAGGCAGCAGUAGGGAAUCUUCCGCAAUGGACGAAAGUCUGACGGAGCAACGCCGCGUGAGUGAUGAAGGUUUUCGGAUCGUAAAGCUCUGUUGUUAGGGAAGAACAAGUGCGAGAGUAACUGCUCGCACCUUGACGGUACCUAACCAGAAAGCCACGGCUAACUACGUGCCAGCAGCCGCGGUAAUACGUAGGUGGCAAGCGUUGUCCGGAAUUAUUGGGCGUAAAGGGCUCGCAGGCGGUUUCUUAAGUCUGAUGUGAAAGCCCCCGGCUCAACCGGGGAGGGUCAUUGGAAACUGGGAACUUGAGNUGCAGAAGAGGAGAUUGGAAUUCCACGUGUAGCGGUGAAAUGCGUAGAGAUGUGGAGUUACACCAGUGUCGAAGGCGACUCUUUGGUCUGUAACUGACGCUGAGGAGCGAAAGCGUGGGGGAGCGAACAGGAUUAGAUACCCUGGUAGUCCACGCCGUAAACGAUGAGUGCUAAGUGUUAGGGGGUUUCCGCCCCUUAGUGCUGCAGCUAACGCAGUAAGCACUCCGCCUGGGGAGUACGGUCGCAAGACUGAAACUCAAAGGAAUUGACGGGGGCCCGCACAAGCGGUGGAGCAUGUGGUUUAAUUC
rnacentral:rRNA from 1 species